rnacentral:rRNA from 1 species
UAGGGAAUCUUCGGCAAUGGGGGGAACCCUGACCGAGCAACGCCGCGUGAGUGAAGAAGGUUUUCGGAUCGUAAAGCUCUGUUGUUAAGGAAGAACGAGUGUGAGAAUGGAAAGUUCAUACUGUGACGGUACUUAACCAGAAAGGGACGGCUAACUACGUGCCAGCAGCCGCGGUAAUACGUAGGUCCCGAGCGUUGUCCGGAUUUAUUGGGCGUAAAGCGAGCGCAGGCGGUUAGAUAAGUCUGAAGUUAAAGGCAGUGGCUCAACCAUUGUAGGCUUUGGAAACUGUUUAACUUGAGUGCAGAAGGGGAGAGAGGAAUUCAAUGUGUAGCGGUGAAAUGCGUAGAUAUAUGGAGGAACACCGGUGGCGAAAGCGGCUCUCUGGUCUGUAACUGACGCUGAGGCUCGAAAGCGUGGGGAGCGAACAGG